CGUAUCUUAGCGUAUCUCCGAUACGAUACGAUACUCUCCGAUACGUAUCUUAAUUUUGGCCGACCGAUACGGUGACCGAUACCGAUACUUUAAUCCUUGGCUAGAGAUGAAGUCAAUGUCAACUAUAGGAGACUUAAAAGCCAUCUUUUUGAUCUUUCGUCUCUAACACAGGGGACCCAGUUGAGAAGUGUAAUGAAUGGGGUGAUAAUAAGCCAUAGGCUUUAUAUUGAUGGCCUUGGUCCAUUUGUAGGUCUAUAUAAAUUUGAUUUACUCAAAAUGUUCACUUUUAUAUCCAAAUUACGGGAUAAUGGUUUCCGUUUGGGAACAUAGGUCUUGCGCCAGCACCCCAGCCAGUGAGAGUUCGUGAAUGGGUAGGAGGGGUGCAAUAGUCAUUUUGCACCCCUUAUGUCUGGGUAGAAGGACACGUUUCCAAACAUAAAAUGCAUUUCUCCAAAAUAUAUAAAGAAGAAAAGAACCCUAUCCGCUGGCAUGUCUCUACGUCUAGAUAUAGGCGAACGCGAAAAGACUGCUCUCCUCCUCCCAACUCACCCAGAUGCCUCAGCAUCUCUCAAUUGACUUGCACGUUGGCACAAUGGCCACGCAAGCAGACAUGGUUUUCUUAUCCUUAUAUAAAAUAGGGGGAAGAGUUCUCUGUCUAGGAACUUGACCCUGCACCUGUUAGAAAAAAAAAAGAAGGAAUUAUUAAGUUGCUUAGUAUUUAAUAUCUUAUCAAUAAUGAUAAGAUUGGUUUUGUGAGUGAUUAACUCUAAGUAGGAAAUCUUUAUGCCAAAGUUGGGUUUAUAUACAACUCUUACGAAUAGGGAUUUUGGUUGGAGGUAUACAAAAACUCUAAAAACCAAAGCAAAAUAGGAUUUUAAUUCUCUCUUCUUUUAUAUUGUCGUGCUCCUCUCCCUCUCUCACACGCUUAAUCUCUACACUAAUAAUUGAGUGGUAAUUAGGGUUUUGUGAAAACUCUGACUAUUGAGGAAAAGCUUGGACUCAAAGGGAACGCAAAGCUGUACGUGUGGGAAGGACUCAUUGUGAAAGGGCUAAGAUCGCGUGGAGAUUCUGCACUUGUAGAGUUUCAAGCAUUUUAUUUUUAUUUGAUCGUGAAAAGACUGGAGGAGGAGAUUGCUUAGAGGAAGCGACGGGAGAUGGAGAAGCAAGUUUUUUGUUUUAUUUCAAUAUAAAAGUUAUUUUGGUUAUAAUUAUUUGCAUUGCAAUAUCACAUAAUUAUGUUGUAUGGGAGUAAUUAAAGAGGUUAUGUUACUCCCACCCAUCUUGGAAUCAAAUUGAUUUGCAUGUGAUGACAAAUCUAAUUCCAGAUGUUAUCCCAUAACCACUAAGGCUUUGUUUUAUAUUUCAUGUAAAUGAUUAUUUUAUGAUUCCUAGUUACAUGUGAUGUAUAGUGAUAUUAUCACUC